rnacentral:misc_RNA from 1 species
GAUGAAGAACGUAGCGAAAUGCGAUAAGUAGUGUGAAUUGCAGAAUUCAGUGAAUCAUCGAAUCUUUGAACGCACAUUGCGCCCUUUGGUAUUCCAAAGGGCAUGCCUGUUCGAGCGUCAUUUGUACCCUCAAGCUUUGCUUGGUGUUGGGCGUCUUGUCUCCAGUCCGCUGGAGACUCGCCUUAAAGUCAUUGGCAGCCGGCCUACUGGUUUCGGAGCGCAGCACAAGUCGCACUCUUUUCCAGCCAAGGUCAGCGUCCAACAAGCCUUUUUUCAACUUUUGACCUCGGAUCAGGUAGGGAUACCCGCUGAACUUAAGCAUAUCAAUAAGCGGAGGA